rnacentral:rRNA from 1 species
AACCUCCGCAAUGUACGAAAGUGCGACGGGGGGAUCCCAAGUGUUAUGCUUUUUUGUAUAACUUUUCAUUAGUGUAAAAAGCUUUUAGAAUAAGAGCUGGGCAAGACCGGUGCCAGCCGCCGCGGUAACACCGGCAGCUCGAGUGGUAGCUGUUUUUAUUGGGCCUAAAGCGUUCGUAGCCGGUUUGAUAAGUCUUUGGUGAAAGCUUGUAGCUUAACUAUAAGAAUUGCUGGAGAUACUAUCAGACUUGAAGUCGGGAGAGGUUAGAGGUACUACCGGGGUAGGGGUGAAAUCCUAUAAUCCUGGGAGGACCACCUGUGGCGAAGGCGUCUAACUGGAACGAUCUUGACGGUGAGUAACGAAAGCCAGGGGCGCGAACCGGAUUAGAUACCCGGGUAGUCCUGGCCGUAAACGAUGUGGACUUGGUGUUGGAAUGGCUUUGAGUUGUUCCGGUGCCGAAGGGAAGCUGUUAAGUCCACCGCCUGGGAAGUACGGUCGCAAGACUGAAACUUAAGGAAUU